rnacentral:rRNA from 2 species
UUAUACAAUGAAGAGUUUGAUCCUGGCUCAGGAUGAACGCUAGCGGCAGGCCUAACACAUGCAAGUCGAGGGGCAGCGGGCCGGUCAGCGAUGACCGGUGCCGGCGACCGGCGGAAGGGUGCGUAACGCGUGAGCGACAUGCCCCGCACCGGGGGACAACCUCUGGAAACGGAGACUAAUACCCCAUGUAGCGGGAGGGGGGCAUCCCCCUCCCGCCAAAGCUUCGGCGGUGCGGGAUUGGCUCGCGUGGCAUUAGCUGGACGGCGGGGUAACGGCCCACCGUGGCGAUGAUGCCUAGGGGUCCCGAGAGGGAGGCCCCCCACACUGGGACUGAGACACGGCCCAGACUCCUACGGGAGGCAGCAGUGAGGGAUAUUGGACAAUGGAAGGAAUUCUGAUCCAGCCAUGCCGCGUGCGGGCGUGCGCCCUACGGGCGUUGAACCGCUUUUGGCGGGGGGCAAUAGGCGCCAUGCGUGGCGCUUUGAGAGUACCCGCCGAAUAAGCAUCGGCUAACUCCGUGCCAGCAGCCGCGGUAAUACGGGGGAUGCGAGCGUUAUCCGGAAUCAUUGGGUU